ensembl:snRNA U4 U4 spliceosomal RNA
AGCUUUACGCAGUGGCAGUAUCGUAGCCAGUGAGGUUUAUCCGAGGCGUGAUUAUUGCUAAUUAAAAGAAAAAGGCCACGAAAUUAAG